AUUUGUAUUUUUAUUCGCUUGAAGAAAUGUUAAAAAAAAAAUUAUAAAUGUCUCACUUUAAACGACAUCAUUUUGCAAGGAAAACAAAAAAAAAAUACACAUUUUUCGCUGCUCGCCGCAUGUUUUGGCGUUUCCUUCAAAAUAAGCGACAAUAUGGAAAUUUUUUUGAAAAGACCGAAAAAAAACUUGGAAAUAAUUGUGGAAACCUUUUAGGAGGCACCCAAUUUUUUUCUAUUUAGGUUUGAGACAUAUGGAGCACCAUGCGAACUGGUGGCGCUAUUUCUAACAUACACAAAGGAUAGGACAAAGAAGACAUUUGAAAUGAAACGAAAAUGAAAUGCCAGGACACCGCACUAGCAAAAAACGUUUUCUUGGCCAUUGUUUGGGCAUUCGCAUCCUUUGGCCACACAAAAGAUAAGCAAUCAACAAAUAUUGAGCGAAAUGUAUUGGCAAGAAAUUAAAAUUGAAACGAAAACAAGAAAACAAUUUGUAUGGCAAUUGAAGGGUUUCCGCAACACGCAAUACAUUCAAAAGACUCGUAAAUUUUCCUUGCCUUUCUUGGCUCUAAUUGAUGAAGCAAACGAUUGAACGAAGCAAAAACUAAGGAAUAUGGCAUUAAUUGGACUUUCGAUAUGGAAAGUGAAUGCAAAGUUGGAGCCUUGAAUAGUUGAGUCCUGUACAUAUAUUUGUCUUAAGGUUUUAUAGUGGAAACAAUUAAGCAAAUUUUUGAGAGAUUUUCUUUUAAUAAAAGUGUAAAAAUGUAAUAAAAAAAUAAAAAAUUAGGAAAUGGA
rnacentral:sRNA from 1 species